rnacentral:misc_RNA from 1 species
UUAGCUAAUGGUAAGCUACAUCACUAUAAAUUCAGUAAAACUGACAGAUGGCUGAGGUGUAGUCACUUUUGUCACAAUGACAAAUGAAAUGUCAUUAAAAACUGAUAAAUAGAAUAUAUUUUAAAAUUAUAUUUUUUAUUGUGAGUUCUAGAUUGUUUAUAAAUUUUUGUACAAAAUGGAAACCAAAGUAGCGGUUGUUACUGGCAGUAAUAAAGAAAUGAGGAAAGAGGAAGAAAAGCAGUACAAAAAUUAGAGGCUUUGGGACUUCGACCAUCAUUCCAUACGUUAGAUGUUACAAAUGAAUCCAGCAUAGAGGAAUUUGCCAAAUAUAUUUCUACACACCAUUCCGGUAUCGAUGUACUCGUAAACAAUGCCGGUAUUUUAGAUUUUGAUAAGCCUUUGCCUACUUACGAAGAAGCUAAGAAGCUAAUUGAUACAAAUUUCUACAGUGUUCUUAAAAUUUCCAAAAUACUGUAUCCAUUGCUUAAAAAUGACGCCCGAAUUGUCAAUUUGAGCAGUGAUUGGGGUUUGUUAUCGAACAUUAGGAAGCAGGCUUGGCUGGACAUUCUUGCUAAGGAUGACCUCACAGUAGACGAAAUAUUGCAGUUUGUUGAUGAUUUUUUGCAGCAUGUCAAAAAUGGUAAAAGUUCAUUUGUGUCCUUCGCAGGUCAUAAUGGUGACUAUAAAGUUUCAAAAGUGGCUCUGUCGGCUCUUACUUUUGUCCAACAGAAACAAUUAAUUGCACAAGGGAAAGAUAUAUCCGUUAAUUGUGUUCACCCAGGCUUUGUUAAAACAGAUAUGACAAAAGGAAUGGGUGAUUUUACUCCAGAGCGUGGAGCUCGGGCCCCCCUGUAUCUAGCACUGGAAGCACCACAGUCUUUAAAAGGCACAUUUGUGUGGCACGAUUGUCAUCAAGUGAACUGGGAUGAUUAAAAAUACAAAGUUAAUGUUGUUUUUAUUCUGUGAUAUAGUGUCACAUACACUUAAACUUUAAUAUAUGUUUUUUUUUUGUAACAAUUGUUUUUAAUAAUUAAACCCAUAUGUGAAAUAAGAAAUGUCACUAGUCAUGUAAAUUCUUAAAAAAUAACUAAUUGUACAUUUUUGUAUUAAUAGUAUGACAAAAAGAAAUAAAUAAAGACAUCUAGAAGAAAAUAUAUGUAUAUAUUAAUUUUUUUGGAUUUAAUUGAAAGAGCGUGUCACGCCACUGCGGUUUCAAGUAAAAAUAUACAGACAAAUAUAUACAGUAUCAUAAUAGUAAUGGAAAAUGCCUUAAUAAAGUAAUAGAAGUGUAAUC